UACGUAGGUGGCGAGCGUUGUCCGGAUUUACUGGGCGUAAAGGGCGUGCAGGCGGUUUGUUAAGUGCAGGGUGAAAGCUCCCGGCUCAACUGGGAGAGGUCCUUGCAUACUGGCGAACUCGAGGGAGGCAGAGGAAAGUGGAAUUCCCGGUGUAGUGGUGAUAUGCGUAGAUAUCGGGAGGAACACCUGUGGCGAAGGCGGCUGUCUGGGCCUUACCUGACGCUGAGACGCGAAAGCGUGGGGAGCGAACCGG
rnacentral:rRNA from 1 species